rnacentral:rRNA from 1 species
AACCGCCUAGAGGUAAACGGGUGGAUCCGCAAAAGUCGGCCCGCGGAAUUCAGCUCGGAAGGCCAGCGCCCGUCGCUCGUUUGGGAGAUCCGCUUGUGGACUCCCCGGGCGGUCGCCUUGGACGCGGGUCAGCCGUGUGCACUUUCCGCGGGCAGAGCGCCACGACCGGUUCUCGGGCGGUCAGACGGCGGCUGGGAAGGUAGGUGGGCGUCUUCGCGGGCGCUCACUGUUACAGCCCAGCCUGUCCCGAUCCGCUUGGCUAAGAGGACCGAGGAGCUGCCGCCGGCGCGAGGCCGCUUCGCUCCCCUCCCGGGAGGUUUACGACUGGUGGAGACUGGGUUCCGCCCGUGUCCGCCGACCGCUUUCCGGGAUGGGGCGGGGUGAGGGAGCCCGCCGGCUGAGGGUCAGUGGCGAAUCGGUCGGCCCUCCACCCGACCCGUCUUGAAACACGGACCAAGGAGUCUAACAUGCGCGCGAGUCGUUGGGCAGUACGAAACCCGAAGGCGCAGUGAAAGCGAGGGCCACCUUCGCGGUGGCUGAGGUGGGAUCCGGUCCUUUGCGGCCGGCGCACCACCGGCCCGUCUCGAUCGCGCUGUCGGUGAGGCGGAGCAGGAGCGUGCACGUUGGGACCCGAAAGAUGGUGAACUAUGCCUGAGUAGGACGAAGCCAGAGGAAACUCUGGUGGAGGUCCGCAGCGAUUCUGACGUGCAAAUCGAUCGUCAAACUUGGGUAUAGGGGCGAAAGACUAAUCGAACCAUCUAGUAGCUGGUUCCCUC